rnacentral:misc_RNA from 1 species
GAUGAAGAACGUAGCGAAAUGCGAUAAGUAGUGUGAAUUGCAGAAUUCAGUGAAUCAUCGAAUCUUUGAACGCACAUUGCGCCCUUUGGUAUUCCAAAGGGCAUGCCUGUUCGAGCGUCAUUUGUACCCUCAAGCUUUGCUUGGUGUUGGGCGUCUUGUCUCUAGCUUUGCUGGAGACUCGCCUUAAAGUAACUGGCAGCCGGCCUACUGGUUUCGGAGCGCAGCACAAGUCGCACUCUCUAUCAGCAAAGGUCUAGCAUCCAUUAAGCCUUUUUUUCAACUUUUGACCUCGGAUCAGGUAGGGAUACCCGCUGAACUUAAGCAUAUCAAUAAGCGGAGGA